rnacentral:rRNA from 1 species
CCUACGGGUGGCUGCAGUGGGGAAUAUUGGGCAAUGGGCGCAAGCCUGACCCAGCAACGCCGCGUGAAGGAAGAAGGCUUUCGGGUUGUAAACUUCUUUUCUCAGGGACGAAGAAAGUGACGGUACCUGAGGAAUAAGCCACGGCUAACUACGUGCCAGCAGCCGCGGUAAUCCGUAGGUGGCAAGCGUUAUCCGGAUUUACUGGGUGUAAAGGGCGUGUAGGCGGGACUGCAAGUCAGAUGUGAAAACCACGGGCGCAACCUGUGGCCUGCAUUUGAAACUGUAGUUCGUGAGUACUGGAGAGGCAGACGGAAUGCCUAGUGUAGCGGUGAAAUGCGUAGAUAUUAGGAGGAACACCAGUGGCGAAGGCGGUCUGCUGGACAGCAACUGACGCUGAGGCGCGAAAGCGUGGGGAGCAAACAGGAUUAGAUACCCCGGUGUC